rnacentral:lncRNA from 1 species
AACAUGAAGUCCACAUAUACCCUGGAUGCUCUCAUGCCUUCAUGAACGCGUCGCCUGAGGCCCUCAAGAGGAGGAAGGGCAUGGGUCUGACUGAUGAGAAUCAGGGGGCCAUUGACCUGGCAUGGUCUCGCUUCUCUACUUGGAUGGGUCGUUUCCUGGGAUCUGCAUGAGCCAUAUGGUCUCUGAGUGGUGUAUAUGGAGUCUGUCAGGUCACAAGAAUAAAAUGUUUGGGUAUAAUAUGUAGUCAGUAUCCAAUCUAGACAAGUGUGUUUGUGUUAUAUUGCAAACUCAUCAUGGUUUUGCUAGAAUAUCUUUGGGUACUCAAUUGGAGGGGAAAUGAAACACUUACGAGCAUCUCAUAUGAGUUUGUUUUGUGUUUAAUAGGCUUCAGCCGAGUGUUUUCUGGAUUUUUAACUUUGAAGCAAGGGUAAGUGCAUGGGUAUCGAUUUCUGCAAGUUGCUGAUUUGAUUUGUUACAGUAGCAAUGCCGGAAUCAGAGCGGCCAGACCCCUUGCAUUCGCUGUCGCCCAUUGCGGCCUUGAUUGUGUUGAGAAGGUGAGAGCUAUGCUGGGAUGGCAUGUUUGUAUGGUGAACCAAGCUGGAAGAAUAAGCAACGCUUGCAUGACCUUCAUAUUCCCACCGCCCACGCACCUGCCAUGGAUGAUUUUGGGCCUUCCAGUAGGCGCACAAGAGGGAAUGAACCAUGCUGCUACACAGAUCGACACAUACGACAUACGCAUGUAAAAACAUUUUGAGAACCAACAGAAGAUGAUGGUACUAACUGCGAUGCAAACCCAUACAUCAAGCAUCAACACAAAGUGGAGUACUACUACAACCUGGAGUAACUGAUUAAUUAAGCUGGAUCACGAGCAUCUAACUAGUACCAUCUGACACUUGACAUUACCAAAAGAUGCCACCGUUUUAGAUAGUUCUGAUGCUCACACAAAGAUCAUCACCUAAUUGGAUGGUGCUACUAGUCUUUGCAGUUUGCACAUGUUCAUGCAAAAGGACCAGCCAACCUACUCGCUCCGUUCCGAAUUACUUGUCGCAGGUGUAGAUGUAUCUAGAUGUAUUUAGUUCUAGAUACAUCCAUUUGUGUGACGAGUAAUUUGGAAUUACUUGUCGCACGUGUAGAUGUAUCUAGAUGUAUUUUAGUUCUAGAUACGUCCAUUUGUGCAACGAGUAAUUUGAAACGGAGGGAGUACUUAACAUUAGCUACAUGGAUCGAGGCAUCGAGCUACUUUUCCAUGCCGAUCUGCAUGUCAGGCGCAGAACCGUGCCUUCAAGCGUUGCUGGCGGGCUUAAGGAAAACGUCGGUGAGCACGGUCUUGGACUGCAGCGACGCCUUCAGAAUCUCCAGACCCUGCAAAAUUUAGAGGAAAUGCAACGUGACGGUUGAUUGAUUGAUUGAUGCACAUGGUUAAGAAACACAUAUCGAAUGGAAGAGAGAGAAACAUGUACUACUAUGAUAAUGAUAGUACUGAAUACUGAUGAUUCAUAAAUUAAAAUCACCUGGUCAUAGCCGAGCUGGACACGGUCUUCUCCUGGAGCGCGCUGAGGUCCCUGACGGCGAAUGUGUUGAGCAGGGUGAUGCUGGAGAUGGAGGACAUGGGCGUCACGGUGAGAUCGUCCAUCACCGUGUACGUCACGAUGCCCUGCGCGAACCCCUUCCCGCUCAUGCCCACCGCCGUCUCCGCCACCGGACCUUCGGACCCGGCCGACGGCACGACCGUCAAGGGCGUGGUCAUCUGGUUGUUACAUGACGGACAGUAGGUACCGCAACUCUCCGUCAUGUAAGUCCGGCAGCUGUUGCAUCUAGCCUGCUGGCUGCUGCCAUAUCCGCCGCUGUAGCAGAUGCACUGCUUGCUGCAUCUGUAGAACGUCUUCGCCUGUGGGGACGGCGGCGCCGGCAAGCCUAGGAGGGAGCUCUUGCUACUUACCGCCGGCGAGAGGACAGAGGGGUGGAGCAGCGCGUCCUUGGCGGCGCCGGGCUGGACGUAGGUGCCGUCGAGCUUCUCCACGCUGCCGUAGAGGCUGCCGACGCAGCCGACCAUGGACUCCUUCCCCAGCAGCUUGACGGCGGUGCCGACGGGCAGCGCGAGGAGGGAGAAGAGGAAGUCCACCACGUCCUUGCUCGCCUCCGCGAACAGCACGCGCCGGGCCUGGGUGUCCACCAGGAGCUUCAUGCUCAACGCGGUCGUCGUGGUGGUCGCCCUCCUGGAGCUGGGCGGGCGGCGGCGGUGCCUCGCUCUUUCCUCACUUCCUUGUGUGGUGGCGACUGGCGAGGAUAGAGGAGAAAUGAAUAGGCUUGAGUGCUUGACACCGAGCGCGCUGUGGAGUAUUUGACAGGGGAAGAAUAGCAGGAGCUGGCCAACAGAUUGGAUUGAGGUGACGGGACGGGAGAGGGAGAAGGAGGCCGAAUUUCGUGUUUUUGACCCUUUUGCCAUAUAAAUUCAGGAUCUGACCCUAGUUAGGAAAAAAAAAUCAGGAUUUGACCUUUUUCCUUAUCACCAGAGUCCCUGGCGGUAGGGUUAGACAAGCUACCGCCAGGGGACCUGGCGGUAGGGUAGUAAUCCAUGUCAGCACGCGGAGACGCCCGCCAUCCCCCUCCGUCGCACCCUACCGCCAGGGCACCUCGCGGUAGCCUGUCUAACCCUACCGUCAGAGCCCCUGGCGGUAGGGUCCGGGCAGUUAUUUCGCCCGAAACCCCGCGCCCAUGCCCAUCUCCACCCCUCCCCUUCCCCCCGUCAGCAGUUUCAUCUUUUCUUCCCCAACUCGCCCCUCUCUCCCUCUCUCAUCUCCUCCACUCCCCCCUCGGAUCUUCACUGUUUCUUCAUCGUUUUUGCGGAUCGAGAUGGCCCCGAAGAGAGAAACGUAAGCUCCUCCGAUCCCUCCAAUUAGUUUUUGCAAACUUGCUUCCGAUUCGACGCAUUAUUUGCUUCAAAUCCCUCAUAUUUUUGAUCUUAGAUUGGAUUUUUUUGUACCUAAGAUUGUUUUAGCUUGAUUGUAGUUGUAGUUCUUAGUUCUUUAGUAAGUAGUGGUAUUGAAUAUGAACUCUAAUCAAUAGUUCAUAUGUUAGCACUAGUAGAAAACUGGGCUUUGGUCAUAGGGCAAUAUCCACAUUAGUCCCGGUUCAAUCACGAAUCGGGACUAAUGCGAGCAUUGGUCCCACUUCGUGUGGCCAGGGGCCUGCCGGGCCUCGUGGGGGCAUUGGUCCCGGUUCGUCCGGCCCCUUUGGUCCCGGUUGAUGGGACAAACCGGGACCAAUGGGCCACGCUCCUGGCCCACCACCCUUUAGUCCCGGUUCAUACCACAAACCGGGACUAAAGGGCUGGUCCUAGUUGCGGCCAGUGUUUAGUCCCACCUCGCCAACCGAAGGGCGCUCACACCAGUUUAUAAGCCCGUCCCUCUCUGCCUUGUUGAGCUCCUCUCAAAGUGAAAAUAGAUGCCCUUAUACAGGGAAUUUGACCUAAAUUCACAGUAAAUUUCUUUGAAUUUCAUAGAAAUUUAUUAUGAAUUUAGGUUGAAUUUUCUCUAUAGGCGCAUCUAUGUUCAUUUUUUUAUAGUAAAUAAAAUAAAUAAACCUUAAUAAAAUAAAUAAAAAUAAAUAAACCUUAAUAAAAUAAAAUAAAAAUAAACUAUAGUAACUAAAAUAAAUAAACCUUAAUAAAUUAAAUAAAAAUAGCAACAGUAAAAUAGAUAAAAAUAGCAGCAGUAAAAUAAAUAAAAAUAAAAUAAUUAAAGUAAAAUACAUAAGUAAUUAGAAAUAAAAUAAAUAAGUUUUUUGUUGUAAGUAGAUAGAAAACAAAACAAAUAAAGCAAAAAAGAAAACAAAAAACAGAGAAAAAAAAUUAUGCCACCUACUUGGCCACCAUGGCCUGAAUACGACUUGAAACCCAUCCAUGGGCCAGGAUUCAGGCCCGCGGAAGGCCCAGUAGGCCCCACAGGCAAAGAGAACGGUUAGGCCCGAAAGCCUGCAGUUGAGAGGGGCUCGAGAGGGUGGGCGCAGCAGCGCUUAUAAACCACUCUCGAGCCCUCUCAACUAGCNNNNNNNNNNNNNNNNNNNNNNNNNNNNNNNNNNNNNNNNNNNNNNNNNNNNNNNNNNNNNNNNNNNNNNNNNNNNNNNNNNNNNNNNNNNNNNNNNNNNNNNNNNNNNNNNNNNNNNNNNNNNNNNNNNNNNNNNNNNNNNNNNNNNNNNNNNNNNNNNNNNNNNNNNNNNNNNNNNNNNNNNNNNNNNNNNNNNNNNNNNNNNNNNNNNNNNNNNNNNNNNNNNNNNNNNNNNNNNNNNNNNNNNNNNNNNNNNNNNNNNNNNNNNNNNNNNNNNNNNNNNNNNNNNNNNNNNNNNNNNNNNNNNNNNNNNNNNNNNNNNNNNNNNNNNNNNNNNNNNNNNNNNNNNNNNNNNNNNNNNNNNNNNNNNNNNNNNNNNNNNNNNNNNNNNNNNNNNNNNNNNNNNNNNNNNNNNNNNNNNNNNNNNNNNNNNNNNNNNNNNNNNNNNNNNNNNNNNNNNNNNNNNNNNNNNNNNNNNNNNNNNNNNNNNNNNNNNNNNNNNNNNNNNNNNNNNNNNNNNNNNNNNNNNNNNNNNNNNNNNNNNNNNNNNNNNNNNNNNNNNNNNNNNNNNNNNNNNNNNNNNNNNNNNNNNNNNNNNNNNNNUCCUGUCUAUGAUUCGGAUGUGGUAUAUAUUAUCUUUUUAUAACUAUUUGGUUCAUUUAUUGUUUAUGACAAAUAUGCCGACCAACGUGACAUAGAUUUUAUUUAUCUAGGAGGUGGUUGAACCGGAAAUUCUAACCGACCCUAUUGUCGAGAGGUUAAAUUUAGUUGAAGAAGAAAACAAUUACUUGAAGGAAAAAAUAAAAAAAAUUGAGGAGGAGAAGAUGAUAUUGGAGUUGCAUGUUGCGGAUGUCGUCGAUGAUCACAAGAUCAAGAUGGAUGCAAUGCGCUUGAAGAUUAGAAAGAUUAGAAAAUAUGCCAUUCAUACCGAGGCUUGGUAUCAUUAUGCCGUUGGAUCAAUUGUUACCUUGGUUGCGAUUAUGAUCGCAUUUGUUUUCGCAUUGAAAUAUUUUACAUAGUUUCAAUGUAUGGUUUAAUUAAUUAGAUUCUCUGGAGAGCUAUAUAUAUGUUGUUAGAUGAGAACUAUGUAUGUACUUUGGUUUUAAUGUGAUGAUGAACUUCUAUUAAUUUGGUCACUUAAUUAUCUAUUCAUGAUGUUCUGUAAUGGUUUUUGACACACUUAAUUAUAUAUAAUGCACGCAGAUGAACCGGCAAUGGAUGUACGGUGACAGACACACCUCCGAGUACAUUAAGGGCGUGCAUGAUUUUCUCGAAGUGGCUGAGGCAAACAAGCAGAAUGGUUUUAUGUGUUGUCCAUGCCCUAUAUGUGGGAAUACGAAGUCUUACUCUGACCGGAAAAUCCUUCACACCCACCUGUUUUACAAGGGUUUCAUGCCACACUAUAAUGUUUGGACGAGGCAUGGAGAAAUAGGGGUUAUGAUGGAAGACGACGAAGAAGAAGAGGACGAUGACAACUAUGUGCCCCCUGAAUACGGUGAUGAUGCAACGGGGGAAGCUGCUGAAGAUCAAGAGGAACCAGACGAUGUGCCCAAUGAUGCUGCAAGGGGGGAAGCUGCUGAAGAUCAAGAGGAACCAGUGCCCGAUGAUGAUGAUCUCCGCCGGGUCAUUGUCGAUGCAAGGACGCAAUGCGAAAGUCAAAAGGAGAAGCUGAAGUUCGAUCGCAUGUUAGAGGAUCACAAAAAAGGGUUGUACCCCAAUUGCGAAGAUGGCAACACAAAGCUCGGUACCGUACUGGAAUUGCUGCAGUGGAAGGCAGAGAAUGCUGUGCCUGACAAAGGAUUUGAGAAGCUAUUGAAAAUAUUGAAGAAGAAGCUUCCAAAGGAUAACGAAUUGCCCGACAGUACAUACGCAGCAAAGAAGGUCGUAUGCCCUCUAGGAUUGGAGGUGCAGAAGAUACAUGCAUGCCCUAAUGACUGCAUCCUCUACCGCGGUGCGUACAAGGAUCUGAAUGCAUGCCCGGUAUGCGGUGCAUUGCGGUAUAAGAUCAGACGAGAUGACCCUGGUGAUGUUGACGGCCAGCCCCCCAGGAAGAGGGUUCCUGCGAAGGUGAUGUGGUAUGCUCCUAUAAUACCACAGUUGAAACGUCUAUUCAGAAACGAAGAGCAUGCCAAGUUGAUGCGAUGGCACAGUGAGGACCGUAAGAAAGACGGGAAGUUGAGAGCACCCGCUGUCGGGUCGCAGUGGAGAAAAAUCGAGAGAAAGUACUGGGCUGAGUUUGCAGCUGACCCAAGGGACGUAUGGUUUGGUUUAAGCGCGGAUGGCAUUAAUCCUUUCGGGGAGCAGAGCAGCAAUCACAGCACCUGGCCCGUGACUCUAUGUAUGUAUAACCUUCCUCCUUGGAUGUGCAUGAAGCGGAAGUUCAUUAUGAUGCCAGUUCUCAUCCAAGGCCCUAAGCAACCCGACAACGACAUUGAUGUGUACCUAAGGCCAUUAGUUGAAGAACUUUUACAGCUCUGGAAUGGAAAUGGUGUACGUACGUGGGAUGAGCACAAACAGGAGGAAUUUAACCUGCACGCGUUGCUGUUUGUAACCAUCAACGAUUGGCCCGCUCUCAGUAACCUUUCAGGACAGACAAACAAGGGAUACCACGCAUGCACGCAUUGUUUAGAUGACAUGAAAGUGUAUACCUGGACAAAUGCAGGAAGAAUGUGUACCUGGGCCAUCGUCAAUUUCUUCCGACCAACCAUCAAUGUCGAAAGAAAGGCAAGCAUUUCAAAGGCGAGGCAGAUCACCGGAAGAAUCCCGCCAUGCGUACCGGUGAUCACGUACUUGCUAUGGUCAAUGAUUUACACGUAAUCUUUGGAAAGGGUCCCGGCGGACUAGAUGUUCCGAAUGACGCUGAGGGACACGCACCCAUGUGGAAGAAGAAAUCUAUAUUUUGGGACCUACCCUACUGGAAAGAGCUAGAGGUCCGCUCUUCAAUCGACGUGAUGCACGUGACGAAGAACCUUUGCGUGAACCUGCUAGGCUUCUUGGGCGUGUAUGGGAAGACAAAAGAUACACCUGAGGCACGGAGGACCUGCAACGUUUGCACGAAAAAGACGGCAUGCCUCUGAAGCAGUAUGAAGGUUCUGCCGGCUACGCUCUUACGAAAGAAGAGAAAGAAAUCUUCUUUGAAUGCCUGCUCAGUAUGAAGGUCCCGACUGGCUUCUCGUCGAAUAUAAAGGGAAUAAUAAAUAUGCCAAAGAAAAAGUUCCAGAACCUAAAGUCUCAUGACUGCCACGUGAUUAUGACGCAACUGCUUCCGGUUGCAUUGAGGGGGCUUCUACCGGAAAACGUCGGAUUAGCCAUUGUGAAGCUAUGUGCAUUCCUCAAUGCAAUCUCUCAGAAGGUGAUCGAUCCAGAAAUCAUACCAAGGCUAAGGAGUGAUGUGGCGCAAUGUCUUGUCAGUUUCGAGCUGGUGUUCCCACCAUCCUUCUUCAAUAUCAUGACGCACGUCCUAGUUCAUCUAGUCGACGAGAUUGUCAUUCUGGGGCCCGUAUUUCUACACAAUAUGUUCCCCUUUGAGAGGUUCAUGGGAGUCCUAAAGAAAUAUGUCCGUAACCGCGCUAGGCCAGAAGGAAGCAUCUCCAUGGGCCAUCAAACAGAGGAUGUCAUUGGAUUUUGUGUUGACUUCAUUCCUGGCCUUAAGAAGAUAGGUCUUCCUAAAUCGCGGUAUGAGGGGAGACUGACUGGAAAAGGCACGCUUGGAGGGGACUCAAUAAUAUGCAGUGACGGAUAUUCUUGGUCUCAAGCACACUACACAGUUCUACAGAACUCUACCUUGGUGACCCCGUAUGUCGAUGAACACAAGAACAGUCUGCGCUCCAAACACCCGGAGCAGUGUGACGACUGGAUUACAUGUGAACACAUCAGGACUUUCAGCAGUUGGUUGGAAACACGUCUCAGAGGUGACACCACUGUUUGUGAUGAGUUGUACUCGUUGUCCAGGGGACCAUCUUCGACUGUAUUGACUUACAAAGGAUACGAGAUAAAUGGGAAUACAUUUUACACGAUCGCCCAAGAUCAAAAGAGCACCAACCAAAACAGCGGUGUCCGCUUUGAUGCAGCAACCGAGAGGGGAAAGGACACAUAUUAUGGUUACAUAAUGGACAUAUGGGAACUUGACUACGGACAUGAUUUUAAGGUCCCUUUGUUUAAGUGCAAAUGGGUCAAUCUGUCUGGAGGCGGGGUACAGGUAGACCCACAGUACGGAAUGACAACAGUGGAUCUGAACAAUCUUGGGUACAUUGACGAACCGUUCGUCCUAGCCAAUGAUGUGGCACAGGUUAUCUAUGUGAAGGACAUGUCUACCAGACCGAGAAAAAGAAAAGAUAAGGAAGCGAAUACAUCAUACGAUGAGCCAAAGCGCCACAUAGUUCUUUCAGGAAAAAGGGACAUUGUGGGAGUGGAGGGCAAGACAGACAUGUCUGAAGAUUAUGAAAAGUUUCAUGAAAUUCCUCCCUUCAAAGUCAAGGCUGACCCAAGCAUCCUGAUAAACGAUGAAGAUUAUCCAUGGUUACGGCGCAAUAAGCAAAUGACACAAGCGAAGAAAAAGUAAAGACUUUCUCCCGCAACUAUUAUGAUGAUACCAUGCCAACUUUGUAACAGACGAGUAUGAUACCAUUGUCCGUUUUGUACACGAAGUGCAUCUAGUUUUUGCCGUAACCCUCUCAACUUUCUUGCACAUGCUAUGUGGAUGAAAUGAUGAUACCAUGCCAACUUUCAACCUUUCCAGAGUUCAUUUGAAAUGCUUUUCAAUUUUAGGGUCUUAUAGCUCAAAAUAAUUAGUAAAUGCAUGAAAAAUAACAGGCCAAAAAAUAAAAAUUAUGCCACCUACUGGGCCACCACGGCCUGAAUAUGAUUAGAAACCCAUCCAUGGGCCAGGAUUCAGGCCCGCAGAAGGCCCAGUACGUAGGCCCACAGGCAUGUACAGAGAGGUUAGGCCCGUAAGCCUGCUUUAGAGAGGAGCUCGACAGCUCAGGCGCACCGCACCUUAUAAAAAGGUGCGACUCUCUCUCAGCUAGCGAGGUGGGACUAAACUCCCACCAUCACGCCGCUGUGCAAGGCCAUUGGUCCCGGUUGGUGGCACGAACCGGGACCAAUUCCACCCUUUGGUCCCGGUUGGUGCCACGAACCGGUACUAAUGAGGCUGUGGCCCCACGAGCACCUUUAGUACCGUUUCGUGGCACGAACCGGUACUAGAGUUUCUUACUAAGCAGUUUUUUAGUCCCACCUCGCUAGCUGAGAGGCACUAGGAGCGGUUUAUAAGUCCUGAGUGCAGAGACGAUGAAGAAGAGGCGCAAAGCUCACCUUCACGUUGCUUAGCUUCAAGCAUUGAGGAAUAAGGUAGACUGCAUGGAGCUAUGUGCAGUGCAGUCUACACUAUUCCGAAAGGCUUGAAGCAAAUCAACGAGCAUUGCACCUCUUUUUUAUUUUUAAUAACUUAUUACAACUCCGGACUUCUUGUGUUACGACAAAAUAAAAUAAACUUUAAUAAAAAAAAGAAUUAUCAUAAAGAACUUUUUGAUAGAAACUUUAAUAGCAAAAAGAAUUAUCAUAAAGUAAAAUAAAUAAGUAAUUAGAAACAAAAUAAAAUAAAAUAAAUAAGUUUUUUGUUGUAAGUAGAAACAAAACAAAAUAAAUAAAGCAAAAAAGAAAACAAAAAAACUAAAUAUAGCAAAAAGAAUUUUCAUAAAGAACUUUUUUGAUAGAAACUUUAAUAGCAAAAAGAAUUAUCAUAAAGUAAAAUAAAUAAUUAAUUAGAAACAAAAUAAAAUAAAAUAAAUAAGUUUUUUGUUGUAAGUAGAAACAAAACAAAAUAAAUAAAGCAAAAAAGAAAACAAAAAAACUAAAUACAACAAAAAAAUUGUUGGGGCGCUCCCCGCUGGGACUUCCAUCCCUCAGGUUUGCAAAUACAGGCCCGGAAGGGCUAGAAGGCUCAACGGGCAGCGCGCCAAAGUUAGGCCCAAAAGCCUGCUAUAGAGAGGAGUUCGAGGCAGCAGCCGCGCCACGGCUUUUAAACUGGUGCGGGCGCCCCUCGGCUAGCGAGGUGGGACUAAACUUUUGGCCGCGACGCGGGCAGCAAGAGGCCUUUGGUCCCGGUUGGUGCCACCAACCGGGACUAAAGGGGUGCAUUGGUACCGGUUCGUGGCACCAACCGAGACCAAAGGCCGCCGCUUCCCGCCCUUUGCGCUGCUGAAAAGAGGGCUUUGGUCCCGGUUGGUGGCACCAACCGGGACUAAUGCCUACCUUUAGUCCCGGUUGGUGCCACGAACCGGGACUAAAGGCUUUGCUAUCUAAGCAAACACUUAGGAAAUUUUUCAGAGUUCAUCUGCAGUUUGCCCCGACGACGUCGACGCCGCCCGCCGCCCCCGCCGUCGCCGUCUCCGUCGCCCGUGCCCGNNNNNNNNNNNNNNNNNNNNNNNNNNNNNNNNNNNNNNNNNNNNNNNNNNNNNNNNNNNNNNNNNNNNNNNNNNNNNNNNNNNNNNNNNNNNNNNNNNNNNNNNNNNNNNNNNNNNNNNNNNNNNNNNNNNNNNNNNNNNNNNNNNNNNNNNNNNNNNNNNNNNNNNNNNNNNNNNNNNNNNNNNNNNNNNNNNNNNNNNNNNNNNNNNNNNNNNNNNNNNNNNNNNNNNNNNNNNNNNNNNNNNNNNNNNNNNNNNNNNNNNNNNNNNNNNNNNNNNNNNNNNAUAUAUAUAUAUGUAAUGAUUUUUUAUAGAAUAUGAUGUUUUUUUCAUAGAUGAUCACAUAUAUGAUGUAUGCAUGGAUGUGGAUGAAAUAUGAUGUUUUUUUGUUCAUAGAACAUGAUGAAAUAUGAACAAUGCAUUAGGCAAAACCUUUACUUUUUUCGAAAUUUUCUAUUUGAACAUUUUAAUAUGAAUGAGAGGAAAGAGGAAAAUAAGAAGAGGAAGAAAGGAGAAGAAGAGGAGAAAUAAAUAAGAAGAGGGAAAAAGAAGAAAAAGAAGAGGAGAAGAAGAAAGGAAUAGAAGAGAAGAAGAAAAAAUAGAAAAAAUUCUAUUUUUUCUUCUUCUCUCCUCUAUUCCUUUCUUCUUCUCCUCUUUUUUUUCUUCUUUUUUUUUCUUCGAUCUUCUCCUCUAUUCCUUUUCUUCUUCUCCUCUUUUUAUUUCUUCUUCGUUUUCUUAUGUUUUAUCGGGUCUGUCGUCGUCGAUAUACCCCUCUCCCGAUAACUUCAACACGAGGGGGGGGGUCGAUAUACCCCCUCCCGAUAAUAUUAUUUUCCCAUGUACGUAUGUCGUCGUUGUCGAUAUAACCCCCUCCCGAUAACUUCAACACGUGGGGGGGGGUCGAUAUACCCCCUCCCCGAUAACAUUAUUUUCCCAUGUAUGUAUUGUUGGAAAUAUGCCCUAGAGGCAAUAAUAAAAUGGUUAUUAUUGUAUUUCCUUGUUCAUGAUAAUUGUCUAUUGUUCAUGCUAUAAUUGUAUUAACUGGAAACCGUAAUACAUGUGUGAAUACAUAGACCACAACAUGUCCCUAGUAAGCCUCUAGUUGACUAGCUCGUUGAUCAAUAGAUGGUUAUGGUUUCCUGACCAUGGACAUUGGAUGUCAUUGAUAACGGGAUCACAUCAUUAGGAGAAUGAUGUGAUGGACAAGACCCAAUCCUAAGCAUAGCACAAGAUCGUGUAGUUCGUUUGCUAGAGCUUUUCUAAUGUCAAGUAUCAUUUCCUUAGACCAUGAGAUUGUGCAACUCCCGGAUACCGUAGGAAUGCUUUGGGUGUACCAAAUGUCACAACGUAACUGGGUGUCUAUAAAGGUGCACUACAGGUAUCUCCGAAAGUGCCUGUUGGGUUGGCACGAAUCGAGACUGGGAUUUGUCACUCCGUAUGACGGAGAGGUAUCUCUGGGCCCACUCGGUAAUGCAUCAUCAUAAUGAGCUCAAUGUGACUAAGGAGUUAGCCACGGGAUCAUGCGUUAUGGUACGAGUAAAGUGACUUGCCGGUAACGAGAUUGAACAAGGUAUUGGGAUACCGAUGAUCGAAUCUCGGGCAAGUAACGUACCGAUUGACAAAGGGAAUUGUAUACGGGAUUGAUUGAAUCCUCGACAUCGUGGUUCAUCCGAUGAGAUCAUCGUGGAACAUGUGGGAGCCAACAUGGGUAUCCAGAUCCCGCUGUUGGUUAUUGACCGGAGAGUCGUCUCGGUCAUGUCUGCAUGUCUCCCGAACCCGUAGGGUCUACACACUUAAGGUUCGGUGACGCUAGAGUUGUAGAGAUAUUAGUAUGCGGUUAAGCGAAAGUUGUUCGGAGUCCCGGAUGAGAUCCUGGACGUCACGAGGAGUUCCGGAAUGGUCCGGAGGUAAAGAUUUAUAUAUGGGAAGUCCUAUUUUGGCCACCGGAAAAUGUUCGGGAUUUUUCGGUAUUGUACCGGGAAGGUUCUAGAAGGUUCCAAAGUGGGGCCCACCUGCAUGGGGGGACCCACAUGAACGUGGGUAGUGGGGGCAAGGCCCCACACCCCUGGUCAAGGCGCACCAAGAUCCUACCUUAGAAGGAAUAAGAUCAUAUCCCGAAGGGAUAAGAUCAAGAUCCCUAAAAAAGGGGGAUAACAAUCGAUGGGGAAGGGAAAUGAUGGGAUUUCUUUCCCCCACCUUUGCCAACGCCCCAAUGGACUUGGAGGGCAAGAAACCAGCCCCCUCCACCCCUAUAUAUAGUGGGGAGGCGCAUGGGAGCAGCACCCCAAGCCCUGGCCCCUCCCUCCCUCCCGUGACACCUCUUCCUCCCCGCUUGCGCUUGGCGAAGCCCUGCCGGGAUCCCGCUACUUCCACCACCACGCCGUCGUGCUGCUGGAUCUCCAUCAACUUCUCCUCCCCCCUUGCUGGAUCAAGAAGGAGGAGACGUCCCCGCUCCGUACGUGUGUUGAACGCGGAGGUGCCGUCCGUUCGACGCUAGGAUCAUCGGUGAUUUGGAUCACGACGAGUACGACUCCAUCAACCCCGUUCUCUUGAAUGCUUCCGUGCGCGUUCUAAAAGGGUAUGUAGAUGCACUCCCCUCUCUCUCGUUGCUAGAUGACUCCAUAGAUUGAUCUUGGUGAUACGUAGAAAAUUUUAAAUUUCUGCUACGUUCCCCAACAUGUAUGUCGUCGUUGUCGAUAUAUAUAACUCCCUCCUAGAUAACUUCGACAUGAUGGACGGUCGAUAUUUAUACCCCCUCUCGACCGUGAUAACUUAUACCACGGGAGCACCCCCCAGCCCUCUCGCUCGACCAAAACUCUCGAGGACACCCAAACCCUAGAAAAAAACGAUGUCGGUCUCCUACCCCCUCCCGCCGCGCCCCUACCCUUGAAGCAUUGCCGAGGACACCCCAAACCCGGAAUAAGCUAGGUCUACGUUUGCACUAAUAUAUCCACCUGCUGUCAUGUUUGUGUAAUAAUUGCCAUGUUGUAAUAUUUGCAGAAACAAUGGAGCACGGAUGAGACGAGCAAGCAGAAGAGGUGUUGGGGGACAUAAUCUUAGCCGGAGGUGAUAUCUUGUCGUAUCUUAACGACAAUGAUGGUCUGGAAGAACAGGGUGAAGAAGCAGGCUACGGUGAUCGAAGAGUGGAGGAGGAAAGACAUGAUUAUGAUGGCUCCGGUGACCCAAUGCUGGUGCAAGAAGGAGCCCGUGGUGACGGCUCCGGUGACCGAACAGAGUCCGGCCAGGUAAAUAUAUUAGUUAAGCCUGUGCUGACUAGCUAAUAGAUGCAUUCAUUGUUUUGGUAUGUACACAUAUUAAUUAACACUCGUCUUUCUUCUUUUUCUAGCCCUCCGGAUCAAGCACAACUUCGGUAAAGAGACGAGGCCCAAAGAGAAAGUUGCGCUCGGAUGAAAGGUUUGAGAUCAAAGCAAUCGCGCGCGACGGCCAACCGAUUGAACCCAUCCGGACAAAGGAUGCAUUUGCUGCUCAGUGCGGGGUUCUAAUUAGGGACAAGAUCCCGAUCAGCAUCCACCAAUGGUAUAAGCCUAAGAAGGAAGACCCUGAGGUGUCUUAUGUCAAUGAUAUGUAGAAAGAUGAUCUUUGGACUGAGCUGAAGGCAAAUUUCACCCUACCGCCAAAGGAGGAUCCGGAGAAGCCAGUUAAAGAGCAAUUAAUCAAGUCUCAUGCUCUUAAGAAGAUGGCAGACCUAUUCAGGAGGUGGAAGAAUGAUCUGAAAAUGUUUGUCGACAAAGAAGAGACACCAGAAUUCAUCGGCCGGUAUGAGAAGAUCAGAGAUCACUGGCCUGCAUUUGUGGCCCACAAGACAUCGGAAAAGAGUAAGACGAUGUCAGCGACAAACAAGAAGAAUGCUGCGAAGAAGAAGCUUCACCAUCGCACGGGGUCAGGUGGCUACCUCAAAGCCCGACCUAAGUGGGACAAGGCUGAGAAUGAUCUGCUUGAAAAAGGGAUCGAACCACAGACAAUGAACUGGACAGACCGUUGCCGGACUUGGUUCUUCGGGGCUAGCGGAACCUUGGACCCUGUAUCAGGGAGGUGCGUUUGGACGAACGAGCUUUUGAGAAUACCAGUCAAGAAGAUUCAGCAAUAUAUCGAUGCAGCGCAUGAAGGGAUGUUCGUUCCAGACAGAGAGAACGACGAGCUCACAAUGGCCCUCGGGAAUCCUGAGCACCCUGGACGGACACGAGGCACGCCAGGCUCCGUUCCGUGGAAGGCUGGUUUUCCGGACGCGGGCGGUUACAAAAGCCAGGAGAGGAGGAAAAAAGUGGAGCAGAUCCAAAUUCAAAAGCUGCACGAAAGGGUUCAAGCGCUAGAGGAACGAGACGGCAAUCGACAUGCCGAAACUACCACCGAAGCUACACCGCCAUCUCAGCGGAGAAGCAGCAUGGCUUCCACCGAGCUGCUUCAGCUGGAGCAUGUCUUGAUGGCUCCUGCUAGCUACCCCGUGGAUGCUAUCAUGGAGUCUCAACAUUGCCACCUUAUGGCGGAAUGGCAGAACUUCAAAGUCAAGGCGGCUGUUGGCUCUGUUUUACCUCCUGAACCCGGCGCAACCUACCACUGCCGGCCGAUUCCAGAAGGAUAUGCUAGGGUGAUGGUGGAUGAAAUAAUGGAGGGAUUUGAGGACCUCCAGCUUGACCACCCUACCGGUGAAGGGGAGACUCGGCUGGGUUCUGCUCUGAAGACUCCAUGCCUAUGGCGGAAGGAGCUCAUCAAGCUUCCGAACUGGAUGGCUCUGGCGAGUAAGGGCACUCCGCCUCCUCCUCCGGCGAGUGAUCAGGGCACUCAGCCUCCUUCUCCGGCGCGUGGCGGCACUCCGCCGCCUCCUCCGCCUCCUCCUCCGGCGAGUGAUCAGGGCACUCAGCCUCCUUCUCCGGUGCGUGGCGGCACUCCGCCUCCUUCUCCGCCUGCGCCGGCGCGCCAGAGCAGCCAGCCUCCUCCUUAUCCGCCUCGUCAGCAAGGGCGGAAGAGACCCGCCGCUACUCCGGCUGCUCCGGCGCGUCGUAGUCCUUCUCCUCCGCCUUGUAAGCAAGGAAAGAAGACAGCCGCAGCCGCUCCGUCUGCUCUACCGGCGUCUAGCAGUACAGCUGCCAGAGGCGGGAGGCAAUACAGAUUCGGUCCUUCUCUGAAGACUCCAGAGAAGUUACCAUACGAGAGGACCGAGGAGGAAACCAGGAAGAUCGUGCGAGCCGAAGUGACAAACUUCUUUGAAGGGGUGAAAGCAAAGAAACAUCCACCUCCGGAGGAGAAGGUAGAUCCGGUGAAAGCAAAGCGCACUCUGGCUGCCCUGACAAAACCACCAAAGUCUCCGCCUAGAGGCAACUAUGAGCGCAUUCUUGCAAAGACAUAUGCCGAAGCGGAGCGGUCGGGCAGUACUGUUAGUGAUCAAAGGUUAAAAGAACGAUGAGCUGGGAAAAAAAUUGCCCAGCUCGGCGAACAAGCGAACCAAUCAUGCCCCCGCUCAUGGUGUCAAAAGACAUCGUCGCUAAUGAUCCGAGGAUGGUGGCCGGUUAUAGCAAUCUUGGAGAUUACCUGCCUGACGAUGUACAUUAUGAAAUCAUGGAGGUCGACGAACACAAAUACCAUUACGGGAAGCCUCUUGUCAAAGAUGAAAGAUCUCUAACAACGAUGAUGCGAAGACUACAUGAUUGGUACAUGAAAACCUGCAGAGAGUCUGAUGGGAUGAAUACUUUGACGCUGAGAGUUAAACCGGAGCAUGACCUCGUUGGAAUUGAUCUGCUGAAUGUUCCAUUUGAGGAUUUCUUCCAGUUUUACAAUCAAAAGGCCCUCGAUAAAACAAUGAUCUCUUGCUACUGUCUGUAAGUAGUACUACUUCUGUCAUUAAGUCUCUCUAUAUAGGUCAGCUCUUUCAUUGCAUGUAUUUAUAAUUAUCCUCACUAUAUUAUGCAGAUUGAAGAUCGCCGAAUUGAAGAGAAGACAAAUCGGUGAUAUUGGGUUCAUUAACACAAAUCUCAUAGAUGCAUAUACGGUUGAAAAACAUGCCAAAGAAGCCGAGGCCAACUUGCUACGAUCAUUGGUAUUAAAUCAAAACAAAGAUAUAAUACUCUUUCCUUACAACUUCAAGUGAAUGUUACUGUCUUGUGCAUAUUCGGUUUCCCUUAUUAGUCCAGGUUAUGGUAAUGUAAUUGAUGACUUAUGCAUGCAUGCGCAUCUUCCACUAUAUUCUCCUAGAGAUUAAGCUUGAGCAGGGAGUAGUAACCGUCUUAGACUCGAGACGAAAAGAUCCCCAGGACUAUGCGAACAUGACGCAAAUGCUCGAGAAGUAAGUUAAAUCGAUCAUUAUCCACCAUAUCAGCAACUUUGUUCAUUUCCUGAUAUCAAGUAAUUGUUUCCUUUGUCUGGCAUGGUUUGGAGAAAAUUCACCACAAAAGCUCCAGGACUGCCGAAGAAGCUGCAAUUUAAACACCCGAAAGUAAGUACUAUAGUAGCAUGUUCCGCGCACCUCCUAGUGAUUCAAGCGCUAGUUUCAUCAAUACCAUUUAGCAUGCUUGCUUAUCAGUUUGAUUGACCUCUAUUUCUUGUAAAGUGGUUGUGGCAGGAAGCCGGGAAUAAUUACUGUGGAUACUAUGUUUGCGAGUCCAUCCGCUACACGACCUAUGAGCGGGGCUACUCUGACGAACAAUAUGAAGUGCGUAAGCAAUAAUAUUCACAAUUUUAUUUUAUUACCAUCAUUUCUGUUGAGUUUCAUUUAUUCAUAUAUAUAUGUAUUGACCCCCUUCUUCAAAUUAGAUGUUUCGGAAGCGGGAUGAACUCCUAGCACCAGAUCGUAUGCGAGAAAUUCAAGAGGAAUUGGCGGCAUUCUUCCUUGACCACGUGAUCGAUGAAAACGGAGAAUACUAUGUGGACCCUGUGUUCUUACAAUUUAAUUAGGAGAUUGUAUUGUAAGAGAUAAUUAUUGUAUAUAUGUAGCCGGUAGUGUCGGAUAGAUAUACGAGAACUUGUUGUUCGACCAAUCUCUCGGAGAAGGAAAGGUGGUCGAUAUCACUUCUCUCUGUAUGCAUAUGUUCAUGACGAUCUUCUAUUUCCUUCAUUUGAUUACUAGCUAGCGUGUCUAGUCCUCUCCAUACGUAUAUAGUACGUAGCGUCGACCAAGCACGGAGAUAAGAGAGGACACUUCUCUCUAUUAAUUAGCUAGAUAACACAAUAUAUGAAACACCUAAAUUAACCCCCAAAACCCCCACCCCCCCUUUAAAAAAAACAAAAACCCCAGCCCCUGAAAUGCUAACGCGUGGAUGCCUAUUGGUCCCGGUUGGUGGCACCAACCGGGACCAAAGGCCCCCCUGCCUGGGCUGGCAGCAGCGGCCACGUGGAGGACCUUCUGUCCCGGUUCAUGUAAGAACCGGGACUAAAGGGUUAGGGCUUUAGUAACGACCCUUUAGUCCCGGUUCGAAAACCGGGACAAAAGGCCCUUACAAACCGGGGUAAAAGCCCCUUUUCCUACUAGUGUAGUGUGAAGAUGAACCCUAGUUCAUAAAAAAUUUUGUUAAAAAAAUUAUGAUGUAAUGCAUGUGGGAGGACUUGAUAGUAGUUUUAUGAUGCAUGUUGAUAUGAUGAUAUGAAGAUGUUGUUUGGAGAUAAUGCAUUCAAGAUGAUAUGAUGAUAUGAUGAUAUGAUGGUAUAUGUAUUUUAUUUAUUUGAUCCAUAUGUUUAGGUCUGCAACAGUGGCGCAACCAUCGCCCAUUCAUCUCCAACACGACCCUUCUGCCUUGCCACUUCCGUACGUGUACGAGUCCUUCCCCGAGCUUCUGCAGACGGUGACCGCUUUUUCAGACGAGUUCCUACAGGAGACGAGGGCAGUGCGGUGGCACGAGAGGGCAGAACGGAUCGCCGACGAUGUGAAGUGUUGGUCGCAGAGUGUGAAGGAGUUGAAGAGAGUGACUGCAGAGAUGGAGGGAGAUCCAACUAUCUCCCGUGAACGCCGGGAAGGGACCAUUGAAGCUGCCAAGCAGCACUCCAACUAGGAGCUGCGCAAUUUGGGCCGGAGGAUCUACUUCGAGAGCAAUGUGGAGGAGAGAGUCAGGAUGCCGCCCCCAAGUGCAUCGGCGUUCGAUAUCAUCAGUUGGGGAAGGGCGGAGGCGAAAACUCCAGCUGGCAAGGCAAGGUGGGAGUGCUUGAACGGUCGGAUGCCGACCAGCGUUCCGCCUGCGCCUGAACCGGUGGAUCCGCUGCCGUAUCUGUCUCCACGGCCAGGCCUAACAUAUGAGGGGGGGGGGGAGGUUUACCCAACCUAUAAACAUUUCUAUUGGAUAUGCAUCUAUGUUUUAGUAGGGGUUGUCAAACUAUGUGGACAAGUUUGCUAUUUGCUAUUUGGUACUUAUGAAUUUAUGUGUAAACUGUUUGAUGUUUGCUAUGUGGAACCUUUAUUAAUAUGUGUACCGUUUGUUGGCUUUCUUUAUGAGUUCAUAUUUUGCUUUCUUUGUGAAACUAUGUGAUAAAACUUUACAAAAGAAACAAUCACUAAAACAAUAUGUGAGCUCAUAUUUUAGGGUCUAUAUCAUUGCUGUGAUAUUGUUUUUGAAAACAAGCAAAAAAUUAAACUUGGAAACAAUAAAACACAGGACCCUACCGCCAAGGACCCUGGCGGUAGGACGAACCUACCUACCGCCAGGGCACCUCGAUAUUUCGUUACAGAAACUUUAGGAGGCAAAACCCCAGUCACACCUUACCGCCACGGGUUCUGGCGGUAGGUUUAGACAGGCUACCGCCAGGGACCCUGACGGUAGGCUACUUGUCCACGUCAGCUCGGGCAAACGGCGGUCGUCGCCCUCCGUCGCACCCUACCGCCAUGGACCUGGCAGUAGCUUGUCUAACCCUACCGCUAGAGCCCGUGGCGGUAGCGAAAGGGUCAGAUCUCAAAAAAAUUCCGAACUGGGGUCAGAUCCUGAAUUUGUAUCGCAAAAGGGUCAAAACACGAAAAUCGGCCGGAGAAGGAGAGAGCGCGUGCAUGCGCAUGGCGUGUGCGGAGAGCAAAACGAUUUGUGUUGGCAGGUGGGUGUGACUGCCGUGACAAAACAACGAGCGAUUGACCGACGGGACGACUGCGCGCACGGCAGUUGAGUCGAUAGGCGCUACUUAGAGCGGCAAAAACGACAAAUUUAACCAGUGGACAAAAAGAAUUCACAAAGUGAACUGUCUUUAAAAAAAAUUCACUCCGCUGACCCUUUCAUGUAGCGCCCGACAGUUAGGCGCCACACUACACGGUGUAGCGCCUGACUGACAGGCGCUACACAUCUGGCUAGCGUCUCACUCCGGAAUACUUAAAAAUUGCCAAGUCAGUGUGCAACACCUAAGAGCUAGGCAUUACACUGUAUAGUGUAGCGCCUUGACCAUAGGCGCUGCACUACUUGCAUGUACGCAGCGGUGCAGAGUGUGUAACGUAGAUAGAUGAAUUAGAAUCAGAUUAUGUAGCAAACGCCAGUAGUGGUAAAGAGAUGGCAGAAACAUCCAAGAGUUGAUGAAACCCAAGAAAGAUAUUGUGGCGCCGUACAUGGGAGGGGAGGAGACAUCUACUGGAGAAACAAGAAAAAGAUUAAGUAAACCUCAUCCAGCCUAGCCGGUUAGCAUACUAUAGCAGCUAGCAGUGGAGCAUGCAUGUACAAUCACUGACAAAAGCCAAGCUGCGCUGCUGAUGAGCAUCCCGUAGCAGCGGCAGACCUGUCUCUGCCACGGUACAGAAGACUAAAGCGCGUACGGAUAAUGCAAAUAGUGCAGCGCCUGAUGUAUAGGCGUUACACUGUAUAGUGUAGUGCCUAACUCUUAGGCGUUGCACACUGACUUAGCAAUUUUUAGGUAUUCCGGAGUGUGAUGCUGCACAAUGUAGUGUGGCGCCUGACGGUCGGGCGCCACACGAAAGGGUCAGCGGAGUGAAUUUUUUUCAAACACAGUUCAUUUUUGUGAAUUGUUCUCGUUGAUAGGUCAAAUUUGUCGUUUUUGCCACUUAGAGUAUCUGCAACCGGACCUCUCAAACCCGUCUCAUACGUUUGGGCGGGCCGUCCGGUCACUGCUCGAUCACGAUUUUUUGACCCAGACGAACCUUUCAAACGCCCGGGCUGACCAGCACCCCUUAUAUCCAGCCUAAAUAUGACGCGGAUAUGGGGCGCCCGGGCAGGCUCGCCACAUCGGCCCCGGCCCAUGCUGUCCCACACUAGUAGAAAACAGGGCAUCAGUUCCGGUUCUGAAGGGCAGCUGGGACUAAAGGUCCUCCCUUUUAGUCCCGGUUGUCUUACGAAACGGGACUAAAGGAGCUCCACAUGGCCGUUGGGUGGCGCCUAGGCAGGAGGACCUUAAGUCAUGUUGCAUGUAAUAAUAUGGAUUUGAGGUAUCCGGAUGUGGAAUGCUUUUUUUGAAGGGUGACCGGUCACUGUCCGCGGACGCGCCCAGAUGCGUCCGCGGGAGUUUGAGAGGUCGGAUUUGCCAAGUUCGGCUGCAGAUGCUCUUAUGUAUAUUUUUUUAAACCUUGACCAAGUUUUUAGAGAUAACUAUUCAUAUCUGGAGUAAAUAUAAUGUAUGAAAAUUCUAGUAAUACAAGUUUGGCAUUCUAGAUAUAAAUGUUUUUCUUCAUAAAUUUGGUCAAAGUUUAUGGUGCUUGACUUUUAAAAAUCAAUAUGCACUACAUUAUCGAACGUGAGAGUAUUAAUUUUUGUAAAUGGUCAUAUUUUUUUAUUAAAAAGCACCCCAAUAUAUUAAUUAAUUAAAAUAUUUUUACAAUCAUUCACUACAGCAGACGCCACACAAGACGAAGAACUUUUAAGCAAAAUAUAAUAUGUUUUAUUAUGUUAGCAAUCUCAUGAGGCUUCACAUUGGCUUGCUUGACAUUCUGCAGCAGUUUUGAGAUGUUAAGCGCUUCACUUUUGAACGUGUCAAGAUUUUCAUUUGCAAGGAAAGACACCACAAACGCAUAAAUCAGUCUCCAAGAUAAUAGGUAAAUGAAGGGUCAUAUCGAUACAGAGACGGGUGAGGCAUGCCCUAAGCUCCACUUUAUCGACGCUGUUACAACGCCCAACAUAAUUCCAUGACAAUAAAAUGACGUUUCCCGUAGAGUUUCUAGCCGCAAUUUCACACCGGCAACCUUCAAACUCUUUACAUAAGUAGCAUCGACAUUAAUUUUAAUAGAAUCGUCUGGAGGGGCGCCACGCCACAUUUGCAAUAAAGGCCUUGGGCGUCACCCACAACUCUUCAACUAGCCUUUUUCUUUUUAUGGAAAGGAGAUGUUCUGAACUUAGUAACUAGUGUUGUAGCUCUUCAUAAUCUUUUGGUGGUGUGGCUAUCAACCAAUGUGGUGCAUAUGUAGGCUUUUAGGCUGAUGUGAUCUUCCGUGCUAUAAAAUGCAGUAUGUAUUGUUAUUUUUGCCGCUGCAAAAUUUUACGUUGCUUUGGCAUGAUAUAUUGUUUGUCCUUUGCUGGCUGAGGCACUAGUUAAUCUUGUUCUCUCUCUCUGUCCGUGUCCAGGGUAGGGGUCUGGACCCGCACCACCGGAAAGUUUGAUCUUGCGAAGGGCGAGAAGACCGAUGGGAUCUUGUAGCGUCGCUUGGUCGUAAGUCGGUUGUUGUUGAUUGCCUGCUGGUUUUUCAUUUUGCUGGGUGGCUCCUUUUGUAUUCAACACAAGGGUCUGGACAUGUAGUUUCAUCCAGUGCAGUGUAUUAACUGACUUUGAAAUGAGCAACGUGACAUCAUUCUUUGUUGAUUUGAUUCAUCUCAACGCGUUAUGCUGCCGAAAUUUCUGGCCAAAUUUCACCCGACUUGUCAAAAUUUUGGCCUUGUUUGUAACAAACACAAAACUUUAUGGUCUUGAAUGCAAAAUGCUAGGGUCUUGGCUGCAAGAUUGAUACCCAUCUUUAGUUUUCUUGAUGCGGUCCGGACUGUUUUUCUACCCUAUGAUGCCGAUGCAAUACUUGUUAUGGUUUUGCCAUUUUCUGUUAAAAGAAUCAGAGCCGGUGAGGUCGACGAGGCCGAUGUUACGCUUUAACUGCGCGCUAUGCACUGGAGCAGACCGAUUCGGUAUAAGUGUAUCCAAAAUCGACAAAACGAACCAAAAUUCUAGUCCAUCAACACACACAAAACUAGUCACAACUCAAUGGCUGGGAGCACACCAAGGAAUCAAAUCACCACAGAGGUCUAUAAAGGGAACAUCAUCUAGUCUACUAGAAAUUAGGAACUACAAAUAUGAUAAAGCAUGUUUAUUCAUCAUGUCUCCAAGGCUAUGUCCCAGAGCAAGUGACAGAGGAGAGGACCUAGUAAAAACAGGAAUUUACCAUCACACUUGUAGCCGAGGACAUACACCACCACCACGUGUUGUCGCAUGGCUAGAGUCCCACGCAUACAAGGUCCUAUGGAACCUACAUGUUGGGACGCUAACCACCAGCUCACACCGACUGAGAAGCACAGGUCCACGUGCACGCAACAACAACACUAACCUUCUUGUACAUUAACACAAGUCAAAUAUCAACUAAACAUCACACAACACCUACACUUAUGCAUGCCUUGGUAAGAAGGACUAAAAAUGUAAUAUGAUCUAGUAGGUAGUAGCAACUAGAAACCAAUUCUUUCAUGAUGCUGGGAUACCUAAUAAUGCUUUGUUAAUAUGUAGGCAAGCAUUUCACAGAACAGAGAAACAGUCUACACCUACAAGUACAAUAUAAUUCAAUGAUUGGUAAAAGUAGCAGUUUAGAUGUUCACAGCUAUAGAAUAUUUAUAAAUCGCUACCACAUGGCUCCAGAAUAAAGCAAACAAGCUUCUAAAUUCUAAACAGGGAUGACUUAUUUUGAGCGUCAAAACGUAAAACUCAAGGAAAUCGGUACCGAAAUACUGGUGUGGCGCCUGACAGUCGGGCGUCACACGAAAGGGUCAGCGGAGUGAAUUUUUUUCAAACACAGUUCAUUUUUGUGAAUUGUUUUCUUUGAUAGGUCAAAUUUGUCGUUUUUGCCACUUAGAGUAUCUACAACCGGACCUCUCAAACCUGUCUCAUACGUUUGGGCGGGCCGUCCGGUCACUGCUCGAUCAUGAUUUUUUGACCCAGACGAACCUUUCAAACGCCCGGGCUGACCGGCACCCCUUAUAUCCAGCCUAAAUAUGACGUGGAUAUGGGGCGCCCGGGCACGCUCGCCACAUCGGCCCCGGCCCACGCUGUCCCAAACUAGUAGAAAACAGGGCAUCAGUCCCGGUUCUGAAGGGCAGCUGGGACUAAAGGUCCUCACUUUUAGUCCCGGUUGUCUUACGAAACGGGACUAAAGGAGCUCCACGUGGCCGUUGUGUGGCGCCUAGGCAGGAGGACCUUAAGUCAUGUUGCAUGUAAUAAUAUGGAUUUGAGGUAUCCGGAUGUGGAAUGCUUUUUUUGAGGGGUGACCGGUCACUGUCCGCGGACGCGCCCAGAUGCGUCCGCGGGAGUUUGAGAGGUCGGAUUUGGCAAGUCCGGCUGCAGAUGCUCUUAGUGUUUUUUUUUUCUAAACCUUGACCAAGUUUUUAGAGAUAACUAUUCAUAUCUACAGUAAAUAUAAUGUAUGAAAAUUCUAGUAAUACAAGUUUGGCAUUCUAGAUAUAAAUGUUUUUCUUCAUAAAUUUGGUCAAAGUUUAUGGUGCUUGACUUUUAAAAAUCAAUAUGCACUACAUUAUCGAACGAGAGAGUAUUAAUUUUUGUAAAUGGUCAUAUUUUUUUAUUAAAAAGCACCCCAAUAUAUUAAUUAAUUAAAAUAUUUUUACAAUCAUUCACUACAGCACACGCCACACAAGACGAAGAACUUUUAAGCAAAAUAUAAUAUGUUUUAUUAUGUUAGCAAUCUCAUGAGGCUUCACAUUGGCUUGCUUGACAUUCUGCAGCAGUUUUGAGAUGUUAAGCGCUUCACUUUUGAACGUGUCAAGAUUUUCAUUUGCAAGGAAAGACACCACAAACGCACAAAUCAGUCUCCAGGAUAAUAGGUAAAUGAAGGGUCAUAUCAAUACAGAGACGGGUGAGGCACGCCCUAAGCUCCACUUUAUCGACGCUGUUACAAUGCCCAGCAUAAUUCCAUGACAAUAAAAUGACGUUUCCCGUAGAGUUUCUAGCCGCAAUUUCACACUGGCAACCUUCAAACUCUUUACAUAAGUAGCAUCGACAUUAAUUUUAAUAAAAUCGUCUGGAGGGGCGCCACGCCACAUUUGCAAUAAAGGCCUUGGGCGUCACCCACAACUCUUCAACUAGCCUUUUUCCUUUUAUAGAAACCACCUCAUUCGUGACGUGACAUGAGAAGAAUGAUGUUCACAAGUUAACCACAAAGUUAGCGGAUCCAGAGACGAAUUCCUCCCCAUUCCCAAAAAUUACAUCAUUCCUCGAAUGCUAAGCUCUCUAGAACAAGAACAACAUUUGCUCUCGCAAAGGGGAAGUGUGUUGAUCCAACAAAACUAGCAGCCAAUCCGGCCCAGUGAACCUGAAAAUCUUUUCUUCCGGAAUGUCCCACACAUUCCUCAAGGCCACUCGCAGCGUCCUAGCCUCCCCGCCUCACUCCUCUGACUGCUACCCAUGGCGAACCGCAUUGCCCCUCCUCUUACGCGGUCUAGGGCUUGAGGUAGAACUCGGUCACGGACCGGUAGAGCACAUACGCGAGCUCGUACCAUCCCUGGCCGCCUCGAGCCACGCGGCGGUGCCAUCUUCUCGGUCCGUGACCGCCUCCUUCGCCUCGUGGAGCUCGAUCUCCACCUCGUGGAGACCCAAAGCGCAUCCUCGAUCUCGUCGAACUUGCUCCACGCGUUCCGGCCGCCGCCGCGGGAGAGGGCGCCACGCUCUUUGGCCUGCUUCGGGCGCCAUCGCUCAACUGGGAGGUGGCUGGAGUUGUCGGCCUCGAGGUCGUGCCGGGCUCGCUUGUGAGACGGUGACCCGCGGCCCCGCGGCCACCACGCCUGCGACCUCAGUUGGACAUGGAUCUGCUCAAAAAGGGUGUCACGAGAAAUGGUCGCCUGAGUGGGUGGAUCUGUAGCAGAGGCAGAUGGGGGAAAUGCCGGAUAGGAACCCUAAAUCGGCCUCUAUCCGGUCGGGAUUUUACGGGCCGCGAGUAUAUUUUUUAUGGGCCAGACAUUUUUUGCUGGAUCUAUUCGGGCCAAAAUUUUACAGGAUCCUGUAAAAUGGCUGGAAUUAUUAGGGCGGCAAGGUUUUGCACCAUCUGCUUGAGAUGCUCUUAGAAGAGAAAGUGGGGGACAAAAGAACAUAAAACAGGAUUUUUUUUCAUACCGUUCCGAGAGAUUUUAAUGUCAUGACUCAUGAGGAAAAAAACCAAUCAGCUGCCUGUCUUGCCGCUGGAAUAUUCGCUUGGUAAAUAACGAGCAGCCACUAAUCAUCUUUUUAGAACCAAUAACUUAAUUACCACCUUCAAAAUCACCAAUCUCUCUCCAAUUCACCACUACGGAUUUUGCGGGAAAUCAGCAAUUCAUGCCAAAUCCUUACAUACCACAUUCAUCUCCCUACUCCCCCUACCAAUACACACCGGCAGAGGAGGCCAUUAGCAAGCGAUCAGCAGAGGUAGCUAGUGGUGAUAAGAAGAGUUGGCACGAUGGCGGGCGCGCUCUUUUGCUCGCUGUCCUCGUCCUGACAGCGCAGCUGUGCGGGUGCAUGGCGUACGUCGGCGUCGGCGGCGGGUUUAGCGUGGAGUUCAUCCACCGGGACUCUGCCAAGUCGCCGUUCCACGACCCGUCGCUGACCUCGUACGACCGCGUGCUCGCCGCCGUGCGGCGCUCCACGGCUCGCUCGUCGUACGCAAGCGGCGGCUCUCCUGGCGGCGCCGUGUCGGAGGUGGUGUCCGCUCCGUUCGAGUACCUGAUGUACGUCAACGUGGGCACGCCGCGCACCCGGAUGCUCGCCCUCGUCGACACCGGCAGCGACGUCGUGUGGUUCAAAUGCAGCAACGGGACCGCCGGCCCUCCGCCGGGCGCGCCGCUGAGCGCCGUCUUCGACCCGUCCUCCUCGUCCUCCUACGGCCUCGUGGGCUGCCGGUCCGACCCGUGCCGCGCGAUCUACGGCACGUCCUGCGGCGCCGACUCCUUCUGCCGGUACCGCUCCACGUACUCGGACGGGUCAACGACGGCCGGCAUCCUCUCCACCGAGACCUUCACCUUCGACGACGCUCCCGGCGGCUGCGUCGGAUGCCGCGAUCGCCCGCAGCUGCAAGUGGCCAGGGUCAGCUUCGGCUGCGCAUCGAGCGUGACCGGCAAGGCGUUCCGCCUGACCGGAAACGUCGGCCUCGGCGCCGGGAGCGGCUCCCUCGUGAACCAGAUCGGCGCCGCGACGUCGCUCGGGCGGAGGUUCUCGUACUGCCUCGCGCCCUUCUUCGUCAACUCCUCCUCCAUCCUCAGCUUCGGCGGCCGCGCCGCCGUGACGGAGCCGGGCGCGUGACCACGCCGCUGGUCCCCUCCGCGGUGGACGCCUUCUACACGGUCCUGCUCGCGUCCGUCAAGAUCGGGAACUCGACCGUCGUGCCGCCGAGGCGGUCCCCCGUGAUCGUCGACUCCGGGACGGUGCUGACGUACCUCGACAAGGGGCUGCUGGACCAGGUGGUGGCGGAGGUCGCCCGGCGCAUCAAUCUCCCGCGGAAGCAGUCGCCGGAGAAGCUGGUGGAUCUGUGCUACGACGUGGCCGGCGAGACCGAGGCUUGGGCGAAGCUUCUCCCGGAGGUGACGCUGGGGUUUGGCGGCGGCGCCGCGAUCACCCUGCCGGCGCGGAACGCGUUCGUGGAGGCGCGGAAGGGGACCGUGUGCUUGGCGAUGUCGGCGGUGACGGAUGAUGGGCCGGCGGUGGCGACGAUCGGGAGCAUCGCGCAGCAGGACUUUCACGUCGGCUUCGACCUGGACAAGCGCGCCAUCACCUUCGCCGCUGCCGACUGCGCGAGCUCCUACUCCUCUUCUACCACCUCAGUCUCUUUGUAGCUAGCUAACUGAUCAUGAUCACCAUGUAAUAAUCACUACGUCUAGUGUGUUAGAGAAAAGAAACAAAAAAAACA